rnacentral:misc_RNA from 1 species
UCUGCUUAAACCCUUCGAAAUUGGAAUCCAAUCAACCACCGCCAACCACCGUCAAUCGCCGUCAACCGCCAUGAAUUCAUUCAACGCCACCACCCCAAACUUCGACAACCUUCUCCUCCAAUCCCUAAUGAACCGUCUCCAAAUUCGUCCUCCUUCAAACCCAACUUCCUCCUUUUCCCCACAAUCCCUCGAAGAUCUCCUCUUCAACACUCUCCCUUUCUCCGACGAAGAUGAAGACAACGACGAUGAUGAUAACAACAACGAGUCUUCUUCUUCCAAAUCUCAGCUAGCGAAAGAAGAAACGAGGGUUGAGAAAGAGAUAAUCCGGACAAUCCUAUCUGGAAAAACUGAUUCUCUAAAACCAAAUUCAGGUCAAGCUGUUGCUAUUGGUGAACAUCAUAUAUGUAUCGGGUUUCAUGAGGAUACAGGUUCGGAUUAUCGGGUGUGGGAGUGGCAUGGUCAUAUCAUGCUUUUUGAUGAGGAAAAUGGGUAUUCACCUGAAUACAUUUAUGGGAAUUACUUUGAAAGAGUUAAUGGUAAGCUUAUGAAGAAGAAACAAGAGGAGAA